CCUACGGGAGGCAGCAGUGAGGAAUAUUGGUCAAUGGACGUAAGUCUGAACCAGCCAUGCCGCGUGCAGGAAGACGGCUCUAUGAGUUGUAAACUGCUUUUGUACAAGGGUAAACCUGAAUACGUGUAUUCCGCUGAAAGUACUGUACGAAUAAGGAUCGGCUAACUCCGUGCCAGCAGCCGCGGGGAUCCGGAGGAUCCAGGCGUUAUGCGGAUUUAGUUGGUGUAAAGGGUGCGGAGGCGGAUUGAUAAGUUAGAGGGGAAAUGGCCGAGGUUAACUCGGGAUCUGCCUAUAAUACUGGUGAGCUAGAGAGUAGAUGCGGUAGGCGGAAUGUAUGGUGUAGCGGUGAAAUGCUUAGAGAUCAUACAGAACACCGAUUGCGAAGGCAGCUUACCAGGGUAUAUCUGACGUUGAGGCACGAAAGCGUGGGGAGCAAACAGGAUUAGAUACCCUUGUAGUC
rnacentral:rRNA from 1 species